rnacentral:lncRNA from 1 species
AAAGGUUGAUAUGAUCACUCUGCAAGGAGGGGAAGGGGCCUUCAGACCACCGCAUAGAUUAGCCAUUGGCUGGAGCGUUCCCAGGCGGAGGCAUACACUCGGGGAAGGGCAAAAGGCGUCCCAAGACAGCCUGGCUGUGAGCCAUCAGCAGCGACUCCGAGCCCCUCGGCCCUUCGGGGCCCCAGGCUGGGCACCACACCAUCCAUCACAGUCCCCACAUCCCUCAAACAUAAUUGGCUUCCUGGGAGCCUCGUCCCUGAGAACAGCCCCUGUGCCAUGGAAGUUUCUAUUCAUGUGACCGAGUAAAGGCAGAGAAAACCAAGCUGGGGCAUUUUUCAAUUUUGCUUUGUUAUUUCAAAGUAAUGGCAGCCUGGGCAACAUGGUGACACCUCAUCCUUAUGAAUUUUUGGUUUUAAUUUUCAAAAAAUUAGCCAGGCAUGGUGGUGUGCCCCUGGAGUGCCAGAUGCUCAGGAGGCUGAGGCAGGAGGAUUGCUUGAGCCUGGGAGGAUGAGGCUGCAGUGAGCUAUGAUCGUGCCACUGUGCUCGAGCUGCACUCCAGCCUGGGUGACAGAGCAAGACCCUGUCUCUAAAUAAAUAAAUAAGCAAAUAUGUACAUGCAUGAAAGUAAUAGCUAUUGCCUUUUUAUCAUUUGGAAAGAUCUCAUAUUCUUUCACAAAGAAAAACAGAAAAUUUAAAUAAGCCAAAAGGACAAUAUUUGCCCUCCAGCAAAUCUACUUGUCCAUUAACUGUCCUUGUCAGCACCCUGACCUGGGAUCAUGGAUGGCACUGUCUGAAGGAGGAUCAGCGCUAAAAUGCUGCCCAGCGCUCAGCCCCAUUUCAGGUGCUGCCAGACUGGCCUUUGGUGGAGCCCCCGCCGUGGGAACCAAGCAUGUGUAGUAAUCACUCCCCGCAGCACCGGCAAAGUUCUUCAGCCAGGCUGACAUUAAAGUACGCAAUUCUAACCUAAACGAUCACUUUUCUCAUUUUAACACGUUCUUACUGUGUUACAACAUCUUCCUCAGUCUUCAGAAAAGUGUUGACAUUUUACUCCGCAUGUCUGUAUCAGUCCCGCAGUUCUGCCGUAACAAAUUACCACGAAAUAUGUGGCUUCUGCCACAUUGUAAAGGCGGGAAGUUCAAAAUCAAGGCAUCAGUAGGGCCACGCUCCCUCCAAAGGCUCGAGGGAAGACUGUUUCCUUUCGUCUUCCAGCUUCUGGUGGCUCUGGCGUUUCUGCGCUUGACCUGUGGCUGUGCUGUGAAUGUCGCUGUCCCCACAGUGUUCCUAGGUUGGAACCUCGUCCCCAUUGUGUUGGUAUUAAGACGUGGGGCCUUGGGAGGAGAUUGGUUCCACCGUCAUGAAUGGGGUUAGUGCCCUUUAUUAAAAAGGCCUCAGAGCUUCUACCUCCUCCACCAUGUGAGGACUCNNNNNNNNNNAGGCUCCUGGGUGGAAAGGGGCAGGUUCCCACUGAAGCCCCACCUUCAAGUCAGAGAAGGCCUGAAGCCUGGGGGCCAGGCUGCCCAUCCCAUGGACCAGAGUGGGAACUUGUGGUGUUUUUUCUGGUCCCGCUCAUGGCCACCCAUGGACCAGUCGGCAUGCACUUCCUCCCCUCUGAAGCCCAUAAAAACCUCAGACUCAGCCAGACUUGAAGAGAUGACUGGAUGACCAGCUGCGGAGACGAGCUACUCACCCCAGGGUCUCCUCUCUGCUGAGAGCUGAACACUAGUUGGGACACCUUGGCUGCAAACAGGAGCUGCCCACUGCGGGCCUCCUCUGAGAUGUUCUGUCACUCAAUAAAACUCCUCUUCACCUUCCUCACCCUCCACUUGUCCACGUACCUCAUUCCUCCUGGGCAACAAGAACUUGAGACCCGCCGAAUGGCAAGGCUGAAAGAGCCGUAACACAAGAGUCU